GUUGGUAUCAGAGCCCUGGUUUGAGAGAAUUAAGUAACAGGAGGUAAAUACUUGAACUCAAACCGGUGUGCUCUCGUGACCAAGAACCCGUGCAAUCCAAGACUCGAUCGAGGCCUAAAGGCAAAAGCGAAUGUAAGUAUGUAUUAGAUUAUGUAUUUGAAGGAAACUAAUAGUAUGUUUUGUAAAGGGUAAGCGCAAUUGUUGGAAGAGAUGAUCCGUGAAUGCGGUCUAGGACCGGCAUCGAGGCAAGUAAUGAAACGAAUUGACCCCAGGUACGUAAACCUAACGUAUGGGCGUAUGAAAUGGUAUGGUUAAGCAAGUGAAAGAAAAAUUUUGAACAAAUUAUGAUAACGACAUGGUAAAUAAGUUUUGAAAAUGUUACACGAGCCGAAACUAAAUUCUUCGGACAUAAGGUGGCGAUUACGUGAAGACACGAAACUAGUACGUGGAAUGUGUACCUGGCCAGUACACAAGAAACGUAUGACGUUCGUGAGACCGUGAUAAUUAUUACAGGUAUGUCCGAUAGAGUUUGGUAGCAGCUAGGCGUGUGGGUGAAAUGGGUAACGGAUUCAAGGAAUGA
rnacentral:lncRNA from 1 species